AGCAUAUGGCAUUGCACAUAAUACAGUUCAAAAGUUGGGGGUCCGUAAGAUUUUUAAUGUUUUGAAAGUCUCUUAUGCUCACUACCAAAAAAUACAGUAAAACUGUAACAUUGUGAAAUAUUAUUGCAGCUUAACAUAACUGUUUUCUAUUGUAAUAGAAAUUUUAAAAUGUUAUUUAUUCUUGUUACUCAAAGCUGAAUUUUCAGCAUCAUUCCUCCAGUCUUCAGUGUCACAUGAUCCUUCAGAAAUCAUUCUGAUAUGCUGAUUUGCUGCUCAAGAAACAUUUAUUAUUAUUAUCAAUGUUGAAAACAUUUGUGCUGCUUCAUAUUUUUAAUGCAUCAUUGCUGAGUAAAAGUAUUCAUUUCUUUUUAAAUCUUAUUGACCCCAAACUUUUGAACGGAAUAAUAUAAUCGAUGCACACCGGCAUGCACAAACUCUAAAUCAACUCUCAGAACAUACAUCUGAUGUCCAAGAAAACACAAUUAUGCACUUUUCUGGCCACAUACAAACACAGUUCACCCCAUUAUCUUUAUGAAACAUAAUUAUUUGGAUUGUAAAUUCAACUCCGUUAAUUUUAUCAUUGUAUUCAGUCUUGUUUAAGCUUCUCAGAUAGAGGCACAUGUAUAGAGAUCUCUUUCUCUUGUGUUUGUCUUUAGGCCUCAGGAUAACUCAGCCGAAGGGUUCAACGACUGGGCAUUCAUGACCACUCACUCCUGGGACGAGGACCCUCGGGGAGAAUGGACCCUGGAGAUUGAGAAUGUGGCUGGACUUAAUGAUUAUGGCGUUCUUUCACAGUUCACCCUCAUCUUAUACGGCACCGGCUCCAGUGCAACAGAUCCGUCCAUUUCCGAUUACACCCGGCCUUCAAACAACAGCUGCAAAACUUUUGACACCCAGCAGAUCUGCAUCGGUAAGACACACACACACACACACAACCCUUAACAGACAAGCUUUUAAAGGUAAUGACAUUCAUGACCAGAAGAAAAUAUUUACACAUUCAAUAAUUCCCAUGGCAAAACCUCUCUGUCAUAUAGAAAUUUUCAUAUGUCUCAGUAAUUGUGCUUAUGAAUAUUAAUAUAUGUUUAUAAUUAUAAAUAUUGCAAAACACUCGAGAGUGAUGCCAGAGAGGUUUAAAUUAGAUAAACUGUGCAUUAUUAAAGAAGUAGAAUAGGUUUUAAACCCUGAGCCUCUCCUUGAUGAGAGGUCAUACCUUGCCAAACUUCAGAGGGCAAGUAAAAAAAAAAACUUAUUUUGUUAAUUAAAUGCUCAAGUAUAUUAUUCAUAGUUUCCAUAGAGACUUGAUGAUGGAUUUCUCUAUCAUGGCCCCAUAUUGUGCCUGCAGUACUGCAGAUUGUUCAAGGACAAACUUUGCUGAAAAGUUAUUUCACCAAUUUUUCAUAUGCUGUUCUUGAAAUGUAACUCUAGGCAGUACUGAAUUUUACUAGGUGAAUAGUUUGUCCUAUUUGGACCAGAAAAUGAGAGCAAACAUGAAAUGACCUUAUUACCUUUAAUAAAUGUACCUAUGGUCCUAUUUCAGAAACAUUCUCCUGGCAAUUACCAUUAUGAAAAAGAAGUUUAUUCAAGUGUGCUAUUAGUAUACUUCUUUUAAACUAAAAAUAGGAAAGUAUGCUUUUAUUUUACUUUGUAUGUACUUCUCAGAAAUGGGCUUUAUGUACUCCUCAGAAAUAUACUUAAAAUGACAUUUAAGUAUACUUGAACUUACAAAAAGUCUAAAUAUAUUUGAGCUAUUCUUGUGCUCCUAGAAUCCGUGUUUUCAUUGUUAUACGGUAGAGGGCGCUAGUACACAUCUUCUGUACAGACUUACCAAGAAAACACAACUGAAGAAGAAAAAGAAACAACAGAUAUUAACACAUGUAACACGAUCAUCUCACAUGAAACAUCAUCAAAACUAAGAUUAUGGAAUAAAAUGUAGACCGAUGAAGAUGUAAUAAUUACAGUCAAGCUUUGGGGUGUCGAUCGAUUCCAUCUACAUUUUGAUUAUCAUUCUCAAUCUAAUUCACAGUCUUUUUUCAGCUUUUUGUUCAAAAUUUUAUUUCUUUAUUUUUUUUAUGAAACUUACCCACAUUAAGGUGUUUAAAAAAAGAAUGCAUGAAGCUAGAACAAAAUGUAAAAGUAUACUUUUAUAUACUAGAAAGUGGGCCAAUUUAGUCCCAAGGAGUAUUGAAACAGUACACUUACAAGUAUACUACUAGAACACUGAUAUUUGUAUACUUGCUACAUAAAGUAUACUUAAAAAUAUACUUGGACUUUACUUCAGUAUACUUAAUAAAAUAAACUUGAAGUAUACUACUUUUUGGUAAGGGUAUGCAAAUGCAAACAUGAAUGCUUAGCUCAUGUAUUGAAUGUGUGCAGACUGUAGCACAUACUUAAUGUGUGUUCUUGUGCUGCUUUGGUGGCAACAAAUCACAAUACCAAAG
rnacentral:lncRNA from 1 species